CUUCGUGUGGUGAGUGUGAUGGUGUGUGUUACGAAGACAAUUUGGGCAAACAGCAACCGUUUCACACUCGAACAAGUUUGAAGUUCUGCACGAGACACAGAACCACCGGAAAGUGGUAACGAAGAUGUUGAAGAGAUUGUGUUUGCUUGAAUACAAUCUACGCAAACGGGAGAAUUUGUACUAGAUUCAGUGUUUCAUUGGAAAGAGAUUUUAAUCUUUUUCAUUUAAAUAGUAUCGAAAUAAUGAAGAUUGUAUUCAGAAGCUUUUCAAAAUGAUGGAACGGGAAUGCCAAAUCAUAACGGCAUGCCGAGAAUGCCGUCCUAGCAUCUCUCUCUCUCUCUCUCUGCGCCGUGUAAAUGCAGGCAAGCAUCUUGCAGAAUGUGUUACAUUAGAGAUAAAACAUCCACACCGGAUAGAGGAUGUGCCUGCCUGUACCGUACACUGAAUGCGAUAUGCCGAGACAAGCAUAUUUCGGCGGUGCAGCAGCACAGCCCUUCCAAGGAUGGCCCGAGGCAUCCGAAAGGGAAAAACCGCAUGGAAAAUCUCCCUUGUACUCGCUUACUGCGAUGUAGCAGCAGCAGUAGAACGUGGAAAACGCGCUGCCUACUACACAAUGCGUACUUGUGGUGAGGCUCAGGUUUGCUGCUUCAUAUCGCCCAUACCCUGAAGGAGGAAACAUUUUACACCUCACACUUUUGGGAGAACGGAGAAAGAAAGGUCUGCAUAACCGUCUGCCAUGUCUUGUACGGGAAAUGUUCGCUGAAGUGUUGUGUACGGGGAGGGGGGGGGGGGGAAUAGUUUGCUGGAAAUUUCGGUGCCAUAUGAACAAUGGUGUUUUAUUUUUUGACACAAUCUUUUAAUAGUAGAUCCAGUACGAUUCAACAGACUGUAAGCAUCUCAUCGUCUUGCAAAAUGUUAGUGAACAAACAACGAAAACGAGCAUAUAGAACCCUUUGGUUUAACCAUUAAAAAAACUCAAAAAGCUCAGUAAAUAGUGGAGAGGGCUUCAUAACUAUCAAUAGACUAUAUAAUGAUCUAUAGAAGCAUUCAGUUUUCUAAAUAAAAUUCUAAAUUGCAUGUUACUUUCAGGGACUUUAAUGUAAAACAGGA